rnacentral:rRNA from 1 species
ASUGGACGUUACUCGCAGAUAAGCACCGGCUAACUCUGUGCCAGCAGCCGCGGUAAUACAGAGGGUGCGAGCGUUAAUCGGAUUUACUGGGCGUAAAGCGUGCGUAGGCGGCUUAUUAAGUCGGAUGUGAAAUCCCCGAGCUUAACUUGGGAAUUGCAUUCGAUACUGGUGAGCUAGAGUAUGGGAGAGGAUGGUAGAAUUCCAGGUGUAGCGGUGAAAUGCGUAGAGAUCUGGAGGAAUACCGAUGGCGAAGGCAGCCAUCUGGCCUAAUACUGACGCUGAGGUACGAAAGCAUGGGGAGCAAACAGGAUUAGAUACCCUGGUAGUCCAUGCCGUAAACGAUGUSUACUAGCCGUUGGGGCCUUYGAGGCUUUAGUGGCGCAGCUAACGCGAUAAGUAGACCGCCUGGGGAGUACGGUYGCAAGACUAAAACUCAAAUGAAUUGACGGGGGCCCGCACAAGCGGUGGAGCAUGUGGUUUAAUUYGAUGCAACGCGAAGAACCUUACCYGGCCUUGACAUACUAGAAACUUUCCAGAGAUGGAUUGGUGCCUUCGGGAAUCUAGAUACAGGUGSUGCAUGGCUGUUGUCAGCUYGUGUCGUGAGAUGUUGGGUUAAGUCCCGCAACGAGCGCAACCCUUUUCCUUACUUGCCAGCAUUUCGGAUGGGAACUUUAAGGAUACUGCCAGUGACAAACUGGAGGAAGGCGGGGACGACGUCAAGUCAUCAUGGCCCUUACGGCCAGGGCUACACACGUGCUACAAUGGUCGGUACAAAGGGAUGCUACACAGCGAKRUGAUGCUAAUCUCAAAAAGCCGAUCGUAGUCCGGAUUGGAGUCUGCAACUCGACUCCAUGAAGUCGGAAUCGCUAGUAAUCGCGGAUCAGAAUGCCGCGGUGAAUACGUUCCCGGGCCUUGUACACACCGCCCGUCACACCAUGGGAGUUUGUUGCACCAGAAGUAGCUAGCCUAACUGCAAA